AUUGAACGCUGGCGGCAGGCCUAACACAUGCAAGUCGAGCGGAUGAAGGGAGCUUGCUCCUGGAUUCAGCGGCGGACGGGUGAGUAAUGCCUAGGAAUCUGCCUGGUAGUGGGGGAUAACGUCCGUAAACGGGCGCUAAUACCGCAUACGUCCUGAUGGAGAAAGUGGGGGAUCUUCGGACCUCACGCUAUCAGAUGAGCCUAGGUCGGAUUAGCUAGUUGGUGGGGUAAAGGCCUACCAAGGCGACGAUCCGUAACUGGUCUGAGAGGAUGAUCAGUCACACUGGAACUGAGACACGGUCCAGACUCCUACGGGAGGCAGCAGUGGGGAAUAUUGGACAAUGGGCGAAAGCCUGAUCCAGCCAUGCCGCGUGUGUGAAGAAGGUCUUCGGAUUGUAAAGCACUUUUAGUUGGGAGGAAGGGCAGUAAGUUAAUACCUUGCUGUUUUGACGUUACCAACAGAAUAAGCACCGGCUAACUUCGUG
rnacentral:rRNA from 1 species